rnacentral:lncRNA from 1 species
ACAGAUCGCGGUUCCCCUCUUCUUAUUGCUCUAACUCUUCCACAAUCCGUCCGCACCAGUCCACAGUCCGUCAGCUCGUCGCCGGAGCAUGUUCGCCGAGCUUGCCAGAUCGAACAGGUACGUCUCGAUGGAUGCAGCAUCGAGAGCUGUUAUGGUUCAUCCCGAGCAGUUCGGACCUCGUAUCCGCUGCAAGGGAUAAGGAAGCGGUAGCUUGGAGGCCGUGACAUAUCGGAAGCAUACAAGGUAAAGCAGGGCGACACGUCUUGCGCACUUAAUGUGUUUGUUUUAAUGUCCUCGCUUUGCAAAACAUCAACCACUGUUCCAAGUUUCCUUCUUCUUCUAUAUCCACCCUUCUUUUAGUACCAUUAGGUAAACCUCUCUUUAUCAGAUUCUGUGUCACUGUUAUUGUAGAUUGGGUUAUAGCUGACUCAUAGUAAGAAGAAGCGUGCCUGAAGCUGAUAAUCUAAACGCAUCUGGUUCGGAGUCAGGAUUCAGCUCGAUGAGCUUCAUAGGAUGCGUCAUUCGUAUAGGUUCUCUGAUCCAUUUGCAGUAUUCUCAAGCAACCCAAAGAUUGAUAACAAGUUCACAAUUCCUUGUGAUGGUCAUUCUACGAUGUUCUAAUUUCUAAUUUUUAUCUGUAAGGAGCAAAUAAAUGAAUAUUUGUUUUUCGUGGUUGAUGCAUACACUACUACUUAGAACUCCACUGGGGUGGCACAUAGUAACAGUGGCACAGGAUUUAUAUUUGUUUAUUUUAGUAGCCGUAGAUUUAUAUUUCUCUUAACAGUCCUGCAAUUUUGUGGUACCUAGGGCUUUACAUGUAUGUUGAUUACCAUAUAUAUAUAUAUAUAUAUAUAUAUAUAUAUAAUUUCCUUAUUGAAGCAGCCACUUCAUG